rnacentral:lncRNA from 1 species
UUAUUUUAUUUUUGUUGCAUUUUUAUUUAAAAGUAAUUUUUAGGAGAAAAAUGGAAAAUGGGGUGAAAUCUAGUGGGAAAACACUCGUGGGAGAGGCUCGCAUGCGCGGGCGUAGCACAUUGUGCGCAGGCGUGCGUGCGCAACAAGCGUAGGACGUGUGCAAUGUGCACACAUCCUAUCCUUGCAGGGUGCGGGCCUGUUUUGCACGUGCGUCCCAUCACGCGCAGACAGGUUAGUCCACAAGUGUGUCCCAUCGCACACGGACAGGGUAAGGUGCCAUAUGCCCCAUGCGCUCACUGUCUGCGUAGUAGGCUUGCAUGUAUUCUUUGAUGAAAAUAUUAUUUUUUAAUCUUUCUAUCCUAAAUUUUAAUUCCAAGAUCCGAACAUGUAUUCAUAUAUAUUAAAUCCCAAACAAAAAUCUCUUUCGAGAUCUAAACAAAAUUUGAGUAGCUAGUAAACUUAAUCAUCAUCCUAAGUAAACUUAAUCUACUGUGUAUAAGAAAAUUAAAAAAAGGAAAAGAAGAGAGCAAAGCAUUCUAAUAGUUUAAAACUACAUUGGGCAUGCAUGUAUUUUAACAAAUAGCAAUGAAGAGACAUCAAGCCGAGGCGAGAGAGAAAUUAAAAGAAAGAAGAAUAAUACUAGUAUAUGAGAUAUAAAAUAUUAAAGAGAAGAUUAAUCUGAAGAAAAUUAAAACACAAACAAAUACCUUUACAUGCAUGCAUGCGAUGCGACAUUUAUGUUGACUAUUACGUGAUGACUACGAUGACUAGUACUAUGACAACGACGACUACAACUAUUAAGAAUUUGAAGAUAUAUAUAUGUGGUUGAUUGUAAUUGGUUAUUUAAGCACAUCCCGACAACAAUCCAAACAAUUCAAAAUCAAACAUCUUAUCAUUCCAUUCCUAAGAAUAAUUAAACCUCCAGAGCACAUCUGUAUAUGAUUUUGGUUGUGCUGAUCAAACAACACCAUCAUCUCCACUUGGUCCCCGUUACUAAACACGAAAUGAGUUGUUGUUGUGCUUGCGGGUUAAUACCAUCAAUGAACCAUCACUACAACUGCUGAAGCUUAUGCGAUAGAGAAUCCUAGUUGAUAUAAGAGGAUGUCUCCCCCGGACCCUUCAUCACUCCUCCAUUUGUGGCCCCAUGAGGCUUAGGUGAUUUACAGAGUGUUUCUAUCAUGUUUUUGGAUUUCUUUGAGGUUUUAUUCAAUUAGCCAACCU